rnacentral:lncRNA from 1 species
AAGAAAAUGCAUACCCUAUACGCUUACCAAAUGAUCAACACUUCGAGUCAAAUCGAAGAAUGUUAAUUCCAGCCUCACGAUCGACUCCAAAACAGUCAACAAAACACCCCUUAAUCCCUUAUCCAGAGUAACAUUCAAGUUUAAUAAAACAAAAACUUACCGUACAACACAAUUGCAUGCUUGCACAAAGGGGAAAACAUGAAGAAAGGCAACGAAAACGGAAGGAGAAUUCAAAGGAAAUUUAGAAACAAGGAUUUAUUAUUUAGAAAAGAGAGGAAAACCAAAAAUUAAGAGUGGGAGAAAAAAAAGAAAACGUCAGAAAGUUGGGAAAGAGUCCAAAAUUUGAAAAAAAAACUAAACAAAAAGAUAAUGCCUAAAAAAUCUGGUAACUCAUCUCCUUAAUUCUCUCCCUAACCUCCCACAACAACUCCACUACUCGCAAUUUCAAUUUGACUAGGACUCCACCACACCACACGGCCAAGCAAUAAAAAAUAAUUACGUUACUCGCGUAGGGACUUGAACUCCAGCCCUCCCACCCGC